rnacentral:rRNA from 1 species
CCUACGGGAGGCAGCAGUAGGGAAUCUUCCGCAAUGGACGAAAGUCUGACGGAGCAACGCCGCGUGAGCGAUGAAGGCCUUCGGGUCGUAAAGCUCUGUUGUUAGGGUCAGAACAAGUAUCGUUCGAAUAGGGCGGUACCUUGACGGUACCUAACCAGAAAGCCACGGCUAACUACGUGCCAGCAGCCGCGGUAAUACGUAGGUGGCAAGCGUUGUCCGGAUUUAUUGGGCGUAAAGCGCGCGCAGGCGGUCUUUUAAGUCUGAUGUGAAAUCUCGGGGCUCAACCCCGAGCGGUCAUUGGAAACUGGGAGACUUGAGUGCAGAAGAGAAGAGCGGAAUUCCACGUGUAGCGGUGAAAUGCGUAGAGAUGUGGAGGAACACCAGUGGCGAAGGCGGCUCUUUGGUCUGUAACUGACGCUGAGGCGCGAAAGCGUGGGGAGCGAACAGGAUUAGAUACCCUGGUAGUCCACGCCGUAAACGAUGAGUGCUAAGUGUUAGAGGGUUUCCGCCCUUUAGUGCUGCAGCUAACGCAUUAAGCACUCCGCCUGGGGAGUACGGCCGCAAGGCUGAAACUCAAAGGAAUUGACGG